rnacentral:rRNA from 1 species
UACGGGGGGGCUAGCGUUGCUCGGAAUGACUGGGCGUAAAGGGCGCGUAGGCGGAUGGCACAGUCAGAUGUGAAAUUCCCGGGCUUAACCUGGGGGCUGCAUUUGAUACGUGUUGUCUUGAGUUCGGAAGAGGGUCGUGGAAUUCCCAGUGUAGAGGUGAAAUUCGUAGAUAUUGGGAAGAACACCGGUGGCGAAGGCGGCGACCUGGUCCGACACUGACGCUGAGGCGCGAAAGCGUGGGGAGCAAACAGG